GAUGAACGCUGGCGGCGUGCCUAACACAUGCAAGUCGAACGGACUAGAAUGAAACCUAGUGAUUUUUAGUUAGUGGCGGACGGGUGAGUAACGCGUGGGCAACCUGCCUCAUACAGGGGGGAUAACACUUUAGUACCGCAUGGUACAGAAGUCAAAGCUUAAUGUGCUGAGAGAUGGUCUCGCGUCUGAUUAGCUAGAUGGCGGGGUAACGGCCCACCAUGGCGACGAUCAGUAGCCGGUCUGAGAGGAUGAACGGCCACAUUGGGACUGAGAUACGGCCCAGACUCCUACGGGAGGCAGCAGUGGGGAAUAUUGGGCAAUGGGGGAAACCCUGACCCAGCAACGCCGCGUGAAGGAAGAAGGCCUUCGGGUUGUAAACUUCUUUUAGCAGGGACGAAGGACGUGACGGUACCUGCAGAAAAAGCAACGGCUAACUACGUG
rnacentral:rRNA from 1 species